AUGUCUGAUGUUCCACCACCCACCAAUGAUCAAUCCGCCACCACCUCCAACACUGAUCCAUGUGUCAUCCAUCAUUCCGACAACCCUGCAACUGUCCUUGUUACACCUCUGCUCACAGUCGACAACUAUGGUUCAUGGAGCCGAGCCGUAACAAUGGCACUUCGUGCCAAAAACAAAUUCGGGUUUGUCGAUGGAACCCUAAUUUGUCCAAAGAAGGCCGAUGAUAUCUCUAAGUGGUGCCACUGCAACGAUAUGGUUGCAAGCUAG